UCGGUGGUGAGCGGCGAACGGGUGAGUAACACGUAGGUGAUCUGCCCAUCAGACGGGGACAACGAUUGGAAACGAUCGCUAAUACCGGAUAGGACGAAAGUUUAAAGGUGCUCCUGGCACCGCUGAUGGAUGAGCUGCGGCGCAUUAGCUAGUUGGUAGGGUAAAGGCCUACCAAGGCGACGAUGCGUAGCCGACCUGAGAGGGUGAACGGCCACACUGGGACUGAGACACGGCCCAGACUCCUACGGGAGGCAGCAGUAGGGAAUAUUGCGCAAUGGACGGAAGUCUGACGCAGCGACGCCGCGUGAGCGAUGAAGGUCUUCGGAUCGUAAAGCUCUGUCCUUGGGGAAGAAGGUCUUCGGACUUGACGGUACCCAAGAAGAAAGCCCCGGCUAACUACGUGCCAGCAGCCGCGGUAAUACGUAGGGGGCGAGCGUUGUCCGGAAUUACUGGGCGUAAAGGGUGCGUAGGCGGCCCUUUAAGUCGGAUGUGAAAGCCCGCGGCUUAACCGCGGAAUGGCAUUCGAAACUGGAGGGCUUGAGUGUCGGAGAGGGUAGUGGAAUUCCCAGUGUAGCGGUGAAAUGCGUAGAUAUUGGGAGGAACACCAGUGGCGAAGGCGACUACCUGGACGAUAACUGACGCUGAGGCACGAAAGCUAGGGGAGCAAACAGGAUUAGAUACCCUGGUAGUCCUAGCCGUAAACGAUGGGUACUAGGUGUGGGUGGUUUCGAUACCAUCCGUGCCGUAGUUAACGCAUUAAGUACCCCGCCUGGGGAGUACGUGCGCAAGCAUGAAACUCAAAGGAAUUGACGG
rnacentral:rRNA from 1 species